rnacentral:rRNA from 1 species
CCUACGGGAGGCUGCAGUGAGGAAUAUUGGUCAAUGGACGAGAGUCUGAACCAGCCAAGUAGCGUGAAGGAUGACUGCCCUAUGGGUUGUAAACUUCUUUUAUAUGGGAAUAAAAUGUUCCACGUGUGGGAUUUUGUAUGUACCAUAUGAAUAAGGAUCGGCUAACUCCGUGCCAGCAGCCGCGGUAAUACGGAGGAUCCGAGCGUUAUCCGGAUUUAUUGGGUUUAAAGGGAGCGUAGGUGGAUUGUUAAGUUAGUUGUGAAAGUUUGCGGCUCAACCGUAAAAUUGCAGUUGAAACUGGCAGUCUUGAGUACAGGAGAGGUGGGCGGAAUUCGUGGUGUAGCGGUGAAAUGCUUAGAUAUCACGAAGAACUCCGAUUGCGAAGGCAGUUCACUGGACUGCAACUGACACUGAGGCUCGAAAGUGUGGGUAUCAAACAGGAUUAGAUACCCUAGUAGUC